AUGUUCUCUGUAGCUCUGCUGCUGCUGCUGGCUGCUGGAUCCUGUGUGAAGUGUGAACAGUUGACACAGCCAGCCUCAGUGACUGUGCAGCCUGGUCAACGUCUGACCAUCACCUGUCAGGUCUCUUAUUCUGUUAGCAGCUAUGCUAAAGCUUGGAUCAGACAGCCUACAGGGAAAGGACUGGAGUGGAUUGGAUGGAAAUAUACUGGAGGUUCAUACUAUAAAGAUUCACUAAUUCACACAAAUGUCAAAGAUUCAGUGAAGAACAAGUUCAGUGUCAACUUAGACUCUUCCAGCAAAACAGUGACUCUAAAUGGACAGAAUAUGCAGCCUGAAGACACUGCUGUGUAUUACUGUGCCAGAGACCCACAAUAA